CUCAGGUCAGCCAUCGCUUCUCCGCGGCAAGGACGGCCAGGGCAUGGAGUCUGUCCUGGGGAGAGCAGUCUUUGGGGCCUGAACUUUGAGUUUUGGAGCAAGUCACGGGGCUUGAGAGAGCAGGCAGCCCGUGCUGGCGCUGGUUUGGCGAGCUAUCCCCGCCCGGCCCCAUCCUGCCCUGCAGCCUACAGAGAAAGGCACGGACGGCAGUGAAGCCACAGCUGGCCACGGAGGGGACACCACAUCACAGCCCACCGCGAAAAGCUGCUGGGGAAACGAGCCUGGGCGUGUCUCGCGUUUUUAGAGGACACACCUCAUCAAGAGGCAUUUGACUCCAGCCGUCCAGCUUGUUAUUCCAAAUGAAAAGAACCAAAUCACAGGAAUUCAGGGGUCUGAGAGAAGUGUUCCCCUCUGUGCCCAAGGACAUCACCACCACGCUGAGUGGGAUGGAGGAAAAGUAGAGACGGAGUAACGCUGGCCCACAGAGGCAUCAAAAAGUCAACUGUGGUUUGUUCAUACCAUUGAACAAACCAGUUAAAAAAGGAAGCACCAGUUAAAAAAAGGAAGGAGUGUAUGUAAGCUGUUUGUAUCCAUCUGCUAAAGCUCGGGAACACGGAACAUGAGGAGUGUAGCCAUGCCCAGCCCGGUACUGUUUACAGAAAGUUAGAGUCAACAGGAAAGAUGCUAUUUAUGUUCAGUCCCUCUUCCCACAAAGAAUCCUGUAAAAGUGUAUGUGUGUUUGUAGACACAUCCACACAUAGGACGUGGCCUGGCAGCCACCUCUGGGCACCGGGAGAGGCCAGGCUGCAGCCAGCAGGACUGAGCCGACUCUAACGAUACCCCCAGGACGCUUCUGUUGGGUCUGUGUGAUGGGGGCACAGAUAUGUUGUCUGCUUGUGGGACUUUCUAAACAGGCUUGAACUGGGGGCGUCUGGGUGGCUCGGUCGGUUAAGCCUCUGGAUUUCAGCUCAGGUCACCAUCUCAGGAUCCAGAGAUCGAGCCCUGAGUCAGGCUCCGCUCUCUAAACACCGGCAGAGGUUCCUGUCCCUGAGCCCCAGCACUCAGGGGGUGAGGAGACCCCCACUAACCAUGGUGAGGGUGGUAGGAGAAGGAAGCUGUGGCCUCUGGUUCUAAAAGAAGAGAUCUUGGGGUGCCUGGGUGGCUCUGCGGGGAAGCUUCUGCCU